rnacentral:lncRNA from 1 species
UUUUUUUUUUUACCAUAAAAAAAAAAGAAGAAGAAGAAGAAAGAGAAACAAAUUUGGAAGGGGGGAGAGAGAGAGAGAGAGAGAGAGAGAGAGAGACAUUAAAGAUGACACGCGACGAUGUAUCGUAUCGUUCGACUGGUGGACUCUCGUCCCCAAUACAAUUAACUCUUAUUGUAAAUGUAUACGAAAGUGUCGGGUGGUGAUAAUUGUUUAUAAUAAUGUCUCGGUGGCAUUCGAAACUUGGGGGGAGACUGUAUGAAAACGCGCGUGAGUACUUGGAACGCCCGCGGUCCAACCAGCGCGGGAGGUUCAACUGGAACCAGCAAUCGAGAAAAGUGCGUCGAAAGGAAAACUAUGGUGUCUCUUCCAUCGUUCGUCUCCGUUAAAAGAUCUAUUGUUGGUGAUCGACGGUUAAUCGCCAUAACCAAUUGUCGAAUUAUCCACGUCCACCUCCCGGUUGUUCUCGUCAUCCACUCGGGAACACAAAAAGGGUCGAUCCCGCUCAGCUCCAACUUCAUUGUAUGUGUAUGUGUGUGUGUGUCGGAACAUUAAUCUGUCAACUGGACUAUUGUAUAUUUAGAAUUGGACUACUGUAGAUUUAAAAAUAU